ACGGUCUUUAUCAUUUGCAUAUGGAUGCGAGUGUUAAUAUAAUGAGCAAGUUCUGAAUAUUAUAAAAUCUAAGAGACUUAGAGAUAGAAUUAGUUAAAAGUAUCUAUGGCAUCUUAGGCUAGGCUAUAUAGGAGAGGACAGACUUAACAAACUGGAGAAAGAUAUGAAGGGAAAGAAAGUCUGUUUCUAGUGGAUAACAAGGGCUGCAUCU
rnacentral:lncRNA from 1 species